rnacentral:tRNA from 1 species
GGUGGCUUAGUGGUAGAGCGCUUGCCUAGCAUGCAGGAAGCCCUGGGUUCGAUUCCUCAGUACCA